rnacentral:rRNA from 1 species
GACGAACGCUGGCGGCGUGCCUAAUACAUGCAAGUAGAACGCUGAAGGAGGAGCUUGCUUCUCUGGAUGAGUUGCGAACGGGUGAGUAACGCGUAGGUAACCUGCCUGGCAGCGGGGGAUAACUAUUGGAAACGAUAGCUAAUACCGCAUAAUAGUAGAUGUUGCAUGACAUUUGCUUAAAAGUUGCAAUUGCAUCACUACCAGAUGGACCUGCGUUGUAUUAGCUAGUUGGUGGGGUAACGGCUCACCAAGGCGACGAUACGUAGCCGACCUGAGAGGGGGCUCGGCCACACUGGGACGGGGACACGGCCCAUACUACUGCGAGAGGGAGCAGUAGGGAAUCGUCGGCAGUGGACGGAAGUCUGACCGAGCGACGCCGCGUGAGAGACGGAGGCUUCCGGAUCGUGAAGCUCUGUUGUGAGUGAAGAACGAGUGUGAGUGUGGACAGUUCACACUGUGACGGUAUCUUACCAGAAAGCGACGGCUAACUACGUG